rnacentral:rRNA from 1 species
GACGUAGGGCGCGAGCGUUGUCCGGAUUUAUUGGGCGUAAAGAGCUCGUAGGCGGCUUGUCGCGUCGAAUGUGAAAACUCGGGGCUCAACUCCGAGCUUGCAUUCGAUACGGGCAGGCUAGAGUUCGGUAGGGGGAGACUGGAAUUCCUGGUGUAGCGGUGAAAUGCGCAGAUAUCAGGAGGAACACCGGUGGCGAAGGCGGGUCUCUGGGCAGUAACUGACGCUGAGGAGCGAAAGCGUGGGGAGCGA